rnacentral:lncRNA from 1 species
UCUUUUUUUUUUUUUUUUUAAGAUUUUAUUCAUUUUGAGAGAGAGAGUGAACGAGCAUGAGCAAGGGGGAAGGACAGAGGGAGGAGAAGCAGGGCUUCUCCGAUGGAUGCAGGGCUCGAUCCCAGGACCCUGGGUUCACGACCUGAGCGGAAGGCAGAUGCUUAACUGACAGAGCCAUCCAAGCACCCCAGGAGCCAUUAAUUUCUAAUUAAAUUAGGGGAAUUUUAUUAUGGGUUUCCCCUUAGACUUCAGCCACAAAAAAGUAGCUAGUAAAGAGUAUUCAAUAUUUAAAUUCCAGCACUGUUGUGCAACUAAUAUUUUCCAAAAGGCUGAAAAGGACUGAUACAUACUUUAAUCAGACCUGUAUAGGGCAGAUAUCUGUGUUGACUCACAUGUGAAUACCAAAUGGCACCCUCCAAUAUAGUGAAAAUAUUAAUUUCUGGAAAAACUAUCUUUUCAGGUAUGAAAAGAUCAGCUGCAGUUUUUCAACAACUUGGAGUUUUUUCUGCAUAUUUAGAAAUCAGAAAGGAAUUUAUUGAACAUUAAAGAAAGCACUGAAGGAGGCAGGUUUUUAAAACACAAAAGAUUAAAUAAUCAAUAAUUCAAAGUUUAGACUAAGGGUUUGGGGAACAUGCGACAAUUUUACUGAAAGCAAAACAUCUAGAUUAGUUGAAGAACAAACUGACCUGUGUUGUAGAUACCAGUUCCUAAAUAAACCUUGAGAGAGACCACCAUAUGAGAGAGAGCCAGACUUACCCUAGAAGCAUUCUUCUCUCCCUUAAGGCAAAGUCCUUCAUAAGAGAACAGCAUUCCAUCAUUUGAGGGUACAAAGUACCCAGAAAAGACCAGAAAAGAUAAAGGGGAAAAAAAGUACCAAAAUAAGAUACUACCUGCUGAAAUGCAUAUCCUAAGAAGCCAAUCACAAACUAGUUGAUGUAUCAGGUUUUAGGAAACCUUCAUUGCACCUUUGAGGUUAUAUUAAAUUGGUAUAGUAAGCACUAAGGACACAGCCUAGCAUACAGUCAGUGGAAUGUAAAAUCUACUGCCUUAGACCCACAUUCCCUGAAAAGCAGCAACUGAAUGAAACUAUUUCACUGCUGCCCUUUAGAUGAAGCACAUGGUCCCUAUUUGCCCCAGUCCUCACCCCUCCCUAUUGUAUCCCAGAUACUACAGCCAGGUACUAGCUGCUUCUGAUCACUGCAAGGCACUGCUGUUCUUGGAGUUAACACAAAGGGAUGCUAGUUUUACCCACCUCUCUACCAAAUCACUGACUUCCUGGGAGGGCUUUGAGGUCUGGUUCAUUUAACUCAGUUAUGAGCUUAUUUGACCCACCUGAGCCUAUGACUCUUGCCCUGAAUAAUGCUAUCAAGCUGUUGCUUUUGCCAGGACCAUUCUCUUCUCCCCUUUUCCACCCCCAAUUAGAAUUUAUUUUUCAAGGCUUUUACAGUCUUUCUGAUCUCAUCAGUUAGAAUCUACUGCUUCAUUAUUAUGUGUGCUAAAAUUUUAGAAUGAGUUCUCUGUACUAUGAAUCAUUUGUAGGCCAAUAGUUGAAUCUUCUGAUGUUCUUCCUCAUAACUACAAGGCCUUCCAUUGCUCACAACAUCCAGCUGCAGCUUCUCAACCUCCUUUGUAUUGGAGCCAUGAUCAUCGCCAUCCUGCAUAUACACACAUACAUACAUGUAUGUGUAGGCCUUCAGCAUAGGCCUUAAGUGUGUGUGGGUGGGGGCAGGGGUGCUUUGCUGGGAGAAGGUAGAAAGGACAGAAGAGGCAUUUGUAUGCCUUCCUGAUUUGGAUCUCUUCUACCCACAGGGGCUAUAAAGAAAUGCAGUAAGUGGUAAAGGAGACUGGAAAAGAUGAAGGACAAAGGUUGCUGACUUUCUUCCAGUAUUUCUGGAACUCCCCUCCCCAGCUUCCACUCUGCAAGUCAGGUCUAUGUGACAAGGUAGGAUCUAGAGUGAGGACGAGGAGGAGAAGGAGAAAGGGGUGGUGGGAGGGGGGCAAGAGAUGAGAAUACCUUGUGAGUUCCUUACCCAUGCUCCAUAAUCCUCCACCUCAGAGAGAAAGUCUGCAGCUGCUGAAAGAAUAGGGAAGAGAGGGACACCUGGGUGGCUCAGUGGUUGAGUGCCUGCCUUCAGCCCUGGGCAUGAUCCUUGAGUCCCAGGGUCGAGUCCUGUGUCGGGCUCCCUGCGUGGAGCCUGCUUCUCUCUCUGCCUGUGUCUCUGCCCCCCUCUCUGUGUGUGUCUCUCAUGAAUAAGUAAAUAAAAAUCUUUAAAAAAAAAUAAUAGGAAAGAGAGAAGAUACCAGAGAACAAGGAGCAGUCAAAUCUCCUCAACCUUGCCUGCCAUCUCAAAAGCUUUUAAACCUCCUUCACUCUUAUGUCUGCUUCUCAGUUCCAAUCUUGUCCCUGGCAACAUGAAUGCCUCUUCUCAUGCUUCAGUCUGCUCUUUCUCCUCCAUCCUGAAAUCCACUCCAAGGAGUCACACCUGAGGCUGGAAGAGCAGCUCCUUUGAAGAUGGGACUCUGGUCUUGUUCAACUGGUAUAUAACCAUGCCUACCAUUGCCUGCCUGGUCCAGGAAUCAAAGCCACAUGAAUGGAACUGGAUCAAUAAAAACUCCUGAACUCAAGAAUACUUUUCCUUGUAGGAUUGUUAUUACAAAUGUACUCAGGAAAUCUCUUGACAUACAGAAGAAGGAAAAAUAAACUGUCUGCUAGGGUAUUUCUUCUUUGUCUUGAGGGAGGGAGGGAGGGAGAGAGAGAGAGAGAGAGAGAGAACGAGCCAGCCCAUGAGCAGGAGGAAGGGCAGAGAGAGGAAGAGAGAAUCUUAAGCAGGUUCCAUGCCCAGCAUGGAGCCGACACAAGGCUUGGAUCUCACGCCCCUGAGAUCGAUCACAACCUGAGCAGAAAUUCUGGAGUCCAAUGCUUAAGUGACUGAGCCACCCAGGCAUCCCCUGCACCCCCUUUAUUUUAGUGCUAGAUCUUCUGGGUUCAAGGUACUCGGUUGCAAAUUAUUCUCAUGUACUUGUUUCUUGAGAUGAGGUGACAAGUUUUUCAUCUAACAAAGUCACCUGCAAAAAUAUUUAAAUCUAUUACCCAAAAUACUUUAAAAACAAAUAUCUUGAAAAGAAUUGAGGUCAACUUCACAGUUAACUUGAAGGUUUUUCUCUUCUAGCCCUUAGGAAAGUGGGGAUAAGAACUAAGGUGUUUUCCAACAGGCGAAAAGAUCUUCCUAACAUUCUGUAAGUCAUGAAUGGCUGUAUUUUGAAAAUGAGCAGAUAUUUGAGCUUAGUGCAAAGACUAAACCCGAAAAACAUCUAAGUUUGGAAGCAGGUCUGCAAAGAGCUGUUUGAGAACACUCACACAUUGAUAAGAAUCCCAAAAGCAUGUGUGGCUUUGACUGCCAUUCCUUAUCCCUCCUUAUUUUUAUCUAACUUAGUUCCCAGGCUCCUGACUCAUUACAUUAAAAGACAAGCUGUUUCAGAUGACCUUGUAGGUACAGAAUAAAAAGAGCAAUUGACAAAAAAGAAGAAAAAAUGUACAGUGCAGAGAUGUUGCUAUUUAUGAAAGGAAACAUUGACUGUUUGGGGCAAGAAAGAGCAAGACUGUCUUCUGUCCUGGCCCUGGGAGCCUUCCCUCUAUAACAGCCAACACUGCCAGUGGGCUGACAACAUAUACCAGGCAUUGUUCUACGUACUUUUCAUAUGCCAACAAUCCUACAAGGGAAAUGCGAUUAUUACCCCAUUUUACAGAUGAGGAAACUGAAGUAUUGAGAGACUCAUUAUUUGCUCAAGGUCACAGAGCAAGGAGGGAAAGGGGACAGGAGGUAGACAAACAGCAGAAGUCUGGCUCCAGACAACAUGCUUUUAUCUUCUCAACCCUUACUCCAUUUGACUCUCUUUUGCUCGCUUCUCCAUUAUCUUCCCUCCCUCCUGCAAAUGCUCCAGCUUCACCCACAGCAGCAUUAUAAGCUCAGCAGUUGCUGAUCCCCUGGUCUGGUGAAACCCUAGCCAGGUCUCAGCCUUCUCAGACCUUUCCUUUGAUUAAAGAUAACACGGAUUAGCAGCAAGCUGCGAAAUGGGCAGGAGUCCACAGAUUAGAGCCCAGCCAACUUUCCAUUCCUGAAACCGUCUCCCCCUUUUAUUAGCACCACUCACAUGCCCAGCCGGGAAGGUUGUCUUCUUCAUGGGAUCUUCAAUUAUCCCUCGAUCCUAACACAAUCUGUGCAAACAAGGCUGACUCCUGUCAUCUACUCUUUGAUCGGGAAGCAAACAAAACAAACUUCUAAUCGUAAUAUCAUUUGCAAUACCAUUAUCCUGAGAUAAUAUAGAAUUACUUAGGAGUUCAGUACUGAACAUAAUCAGUUCACUUCUGAAUGUCUGCUCGGCAACAAAAAUGUGCUAAGUACUACCCAGUAUAUCAAUAUGAAUAAUUUAUCAAUCCUUCCCUCCUACUAAAUUUCCCUUCUUUGAAAUUCUUUACUCCUAUUUUCUACUAUGUCAACUAUUCCAGAUUGAGUAGCUGAGAAUCAGGAGAGACACUCGGGGUUGGGCCCCUCAGGAAGCAGAUGGGACCUCUGAGUUGUAAAACUGAAAACAGCUUGAAUACUUUGUUAGAAAACCAGAUGCAGAAGAAAUAUGAGCUUGUACUAUGCAUAUUAUGCACCAUGAAACCAAACCAAUUUAUAAGUACUCCACUGAAACUCCAGAUAGAACUACCAGAAAGUCUUUAGUAAAGAAUGUUAAAGUCACUGAAACCAUGAAGACCGUAACUGCACAAUUUUCAUCAUUACUGAUUUAAGAAUUGCCAAAGGAGACAUAUGCCCUUCCAUGUAUACCGAUUUCAUUUUAGCGAGUAACUUUCAUAGGUGGUCAAAUGAUAGCCACUCCUCCAAGUAUAUUGAAGUCUUAGAACAGCAAUUUCUCAAAUAAUGGAGGUUUUCAGAAAGAGAACUUUAGUUUACACGUAGGGAAGACACAACUUUACAAAUUGCUAAGAUAAAAGGUACAACAUCAAAGCCACGAGAAAGAAACCUGCCUUGUAUGUAGGUAGGCCGGAAGAAAGAGAGACAUGGAGAGAGAAAGAAAAAAAGAGUGAGCAAUUGAGGGACGCCUGGGUGGCCCAGAGGUUGGACAUCUGCCUUUGGCUCAGGGCGUGAUCCCCAGGUCCUGGGAUUGAGUUCCACAUCAGGCUCCUCUCGGGAAGCCUGCUUCUCCCUCUGCCUGUGCCCCUGCCUCUCUCUCUGUGUCUCUCAUGAAUGGAUAAAUAAUAAAAUAUUAAAAAAAAAAAAAAAAGAAAGAGCAAUAGAUUUCCUACUGAAGAGAAAAGAAAGGCUGCAUACACCUUGAAGAAGUCCUAUUUGGGCAGGUCAGGUGUGAGGGCGGGACAGAGAAUGUGGCCCUAGCAGAGGUAAUAGCCCUGCAGUAUCAAGAAGGGCAAGAGUCAUAAAUUUAGGUGCUGACCCGUGUCAGGCAGGUACCAUAUUAAGUGUGAAGUGUACCAGAGGAACUUACAGCCUUCUCAGCUCUUUGACUCGGCAGCGAGGUGGGUUAAAACGUUAUUUUCCUCUAAGAAAAACAACAGGGCUACGCAGUGGUAGCUGGCUGGCUGCAUUAUCCCAGAGCAAUAUGGAGUGGUGAGGCCUGUGGCAAGCAUUCCUCUUCCACAGGGGUUAGUUCACUAAGUGUAUGUAUCCAACCUGUCUGGGGGAAUUUGGGAAUGUGAACCCAAUGUGAGCAGAUUUUCUGUGUUUUCCUAAGAAAAGCUGGAAAUUUGGAUUUUUACACACCUUGCAAUGUUUUAGCGUGUGCUCCUAUAAAUUUUAUAAUAAUACUGUAAUAAUAAUACAAUAAUAUUGCCACCAACAAUACUUUACAAUAAUACCAAGCAGGCCAACAAAACAGGUUUGAGGAUGAGGUUUGAGGGCCAUGUGAUAUAUGGCUUCUGAGGAGGUGGGAGGAAGAUGGGAUUAUAGAUAGCAAAGGCCUGGACUUUCCAUCCCAGAUUGAUUCCACCGUAGCCUGGGAAAACUGCUUAAACUCCCUCAGGUCAGCACCUGGCUCCAGAGAGAUACUUGGAGACUAAAUUAACAGCCUACGCAGAAAGGCAGAGGAGUGCAGUCUUAAGAAAGAACGGUGAUGAUAUUAAACAUCUUUUCAUGUAUUUGCCACCUGCAUACCUUCUUCAGGGAUGGGUUUAAUUCUUUCAUUUUCUGAUUGCAUUGUAUCUUUGUAUUGUUGAGUUUUAUUAGUCCUUUAUUAAACACAUGGUUUGCAAAUAUUUGUCUUCAGUCAGUAGUUUGCCUUUAUAUCCUUUGUAACAGGAUCCUCUGGAGAACAAAAGUUUUUAAUUUUGACUACAUCCAAUUUUUCAAAUUUUCCUUUUAUAGAUUAUACUUUUUGGUGUCAAGUCUAAGACCAUUAUAUCUAGCUCUAGAUCUUAAAGAUUUGUUCCUCUGUCUUUUGCCUAGAGCUUUAUCCUUUCAUUCUUUGCAUCUAUCUAUCUAUCUAUCUAUCUAUCUAUCUAUCUAUCUAUCUAAUUUACUUUUUUUGCGGACUUACCAGUACUUUAAUGAUAAUCCUCUUCUGUGCCUAUUUUGGAAAACUUUGUAUUUGCUAUUUACCCUAUUUCUAGUGCCAAUUUUUUUUAAUAAUAAAUUUAUUUUUUAUUGGUGUUCAAUUUGCCAACAUACAGAAUAACACCCAGUG